CCGAACCAUAGGCUUCGCUCCUCACAUACCACCACCACCUCCUUAGCUCUAUCUUCCUUCUCCCCCAAAUCCCAGAUCCACCCAACUAGCUGACGACGGCCAGCUCUCCCCUAGCCCCACCGACGACCUACCGGCCUCUAGCCUCUACCCAACUGCCGGCGCCCCCAACCCUCUCCUCUUUCUAGCCGCUGAGUCCAACCUCCAUAGCUCUCACUCCGCGACCGAAACCUAGCUCGUGCACAUGGUGACCAGGCUCUGGAUCCAUCGGCGGAGGUGCAGCACUGGAUCCGCAUGCCCGGAUGCGUCGACGACGAGGCCAGGAGGCCGCUGGGUCCGGGAACUAGGCGGCGCACCCUGCAGUAGCCGGUCGGGACGAGCGCGGGGGCUACCAACGCGGGCACUUCUCUGCUUCCUCGACCUCCAAGGAAGAACUAUGACAAGGCUAUCAAGCGUUUCUUGGUGAGGAACAUCGUGGAGCAGGCUGCUGUCAGAUAUGUGCAGGAGGCUUGUUUGCAUGAUGGAUAUGUUCUUCCCAAGCUGUAUGCCAAGGUGCACCAUUGUGUUUCUUGUGCCAUCCAUGCUCACAUUGUCUGUGUCUGCCCCCGUGAGAACAAGAGGAACCGUGAGCCCCGCAGCGCUUCAAGCGCAGGGUGUGAUUUUAAGAACCUAUAUGCUCGCUUUGCUUGCAAAUAAGUGUUGAGGUUUUCUUGUAUGUUGUUCCGAUUUUAAUUGUUAGAUAGAAGUUUGAGGUUCAUAAUGAGUAGUACACCAUGGCUAGUUCUUCACUUUUUUAGUGUUGCUUUUGGCGUUGCAUUCUCUGUGUACAUGUCAUAAUGGAUGCGUCAAUGGAAGCAUAAAUAAACAUUUCUGGGUGUAUUGCAGGCUUAUGUGUGAUGGUUGAACCCUAAUUCAGUCAUAACUUCCGCAUUGCACUCAUGUGAAACAAAUUUUCUUCAUUGUCCUUGUUUUGCUUCUGGCGUUGCAUUCUGUGUGUAUAUGUUGCAAUGGAUGUGUCAACGGAAGCAUAAAUAGACAUGUCUUCGCAUUGCAGACUUAUCUGUGAUUACUGAUUUGCUAAUUCAGUCAUAACCUCCUCAUUGCACUCAUUUCUGAAAUGCACACAUUCCAUUUUGAUCAGUUGGUGAUGUGAUAGCAACUCACAUUUACUUUCUUAUGUAGUUUUAUCUACUUGGUUGUUAUUCUCUUAAAUUCAACAAAUUGUGGGACUUCUUGUCUACCCCAUUUGCAAUAACAAUUGCCUAUGGGAUGAAGCAGUCUCUUACAUCUGAUAACCAUCCUCUUCACUUUGUGUGCUAAAACCUUUUGUUUUUAGUUGGUCAUUAACGGAUGGGACAUUUAUAUAUACAUCUCCCUCACUUUGUCUGCUAAGAUGUUCUAUUUCUAGCUGAUUGUUUGUGGACGUGAUAUUUCAUGACUACUGAUGUUUCUUAGUUCUUCCUCGAUGAUUCAUUCAGCUAUGUGUCCCAUCUCCAGCCUUCUGAUGUUGCUGCUGGCGUGUCAUUUACAUCAUGUAGAGCAAGCUGAGCGAAACAUGACGUGGAUGUAUCAUGCGCUAGACCAGCUCUAAUUUAAAACUACGCAUCACCGUUAAAUUUUUUUUUUUAGAUAAACCAACAGACAUAACUUGUCAGAUAGUAAGAUUUUACCUCAGAUUUUUAGAGAUAGCCCCUUUUGGUUGGUUGUCUAUCUCGCGUGUGCUUUAGAGAUAGCCCCUUCUGGUUGGCCCCAGAUUCAAAUCCCCCAUAGCUCAUUCUUUAAUACCCUUCAUCCCACUAACAAAGUGGUCCACAACAGGCAAGAGACAGAUUGUGUGCAGCAGUUGUAGUUUAUGGAGUUGUUGCUUAUUUGGUCCGAAUUCUUUUCCUUAUGCAUAAGAAUAAGCUAAUAAAAACAGAAUAUUGAUUCUCUGCGUGUUAUGAGUAAAAUGCUAUAUUUUCUUUCGUCACCUUGUAUGAAUAUCUCAUUUUAACUAGCUAGAGAACAUCAUUGUACUAGCAGAAUUUGUGUUAUCAUUCUAAAGAACUUGUUGUUCAUUUUCUGAAUGGUUUGUUCAUAAUAUAUUUACUCCAGUUUUUUUGGUUCCUCUGUGUUGAUUCAUGUAACAGGGCCACCGUGGAAGCCUAUGGAAGGUUGUUUCAUAUGACUAGAGUAGGAGCCCAGUUUGCACCAAUCGUCAUUUUAUCUGUGUAACUCUAUGUAACUGAUUGUAUUUGUAUGUGUGUCAUAUGACUAUAGCAGGAGCUGAUUAUACACUUGUAGAGCUUGUAACUUCGAUUGUCAUCGUAACUCUUUAUAUUAUGUAACAGAAUGAUUCUGGCUACUGUUAUAUGAAGUAUUACUUAUGUUU